AGACGGAAGGUGAGGCGUCCUCGGCCAC
rnacentral:sRNA from 1 species